rnacentral:rRNA from 1 species
UACAGAGGUCUCAAGCGUUGUUCGGAUUUAUUGGGCGUAAAGCGUGCGUAGGCGGCGGGGUAAGUGAGGUGCGAAAUCCCAGGGCUUAACCCUGGAACUGCACUUUAUACUGCCUUGCUCGAGGGCUGGAGAGGAGACUGGAAUUUACGGUGUAGCAGUGAAAUGCGUAGAGAUCGUAAGGAAGACCAGUGGCGAAGGCGAGUCUCUGGAAAGCUGCUGACGCUGAGGCACGAAGGCCAGGGGAGCAAACGGG